GCUCUCGUAGCCCAACCAGCAGAGGCAGCGGACUUAAACUCCGCCCAGUGUCAGUGCGAGUCUGACCGGGAGCACCA
rnacentral:tRNA from 1 species